GAUGAACGCUGGCGGCGUGCCUAACACAUGCAAGUCGAGCGAAGCGCCUUACUUGAUUUCUUCGGGAUGAAAGUAUUGUGACUGAGCGGGCGACGGGUGAAGGUACGCGUGGUAACCGUGCCUCAUACAGGGGGAUAACAGUUAGAAAUGACUGCUAAAUACCGCAUAAGACCACAGCACCGCAUGGUGCAGGGGGUAAAAAACUCCGGUGGUAUGAGAUGGAUCCGCGUCUGAUUAGCUAGUUGGUAAGGUAACGGCUUACCAAGGCAACGAUCAGUAGCCGACCUGAGAGGGUGACCGGCCACAUUUGGGACUGAGACACGGCCCAAA
rnacentral:rRNA from 1 species